rnacentral:tRNA from 1 species
AUUUAUAUAGUUUAUAAUAAAACAUUACAUUUUCAUUGUAAAAAUAAAAUUUUAAUAUUUUUAUAAAUA